GUCUACGGCCACGCCACCCUAAACGUGUCUGAUCUCGUCUGAUCUCGAAAGCUAAGCAGGGUAGGGCCUGGUUAGUACUUGGAUGGGAGGCUACUCAGGAAUACCGGGUGCUGUAGGCA
ensembl:rRNA 5S_rRNA 5S ribosomal RNA